UUUCUAUAAAUGUUACAGCCACUGUUAUGCCUCAAUCAACUGCCAGAGCUUAGCUUAUAUUCAGCUCUCAUGUCCUUUGGGAAUAGUAUCAGUUUUGCUGACAUGUCAAUUUGCAUCCCCUCAAACAACCUGUGCCUAAUGGGCAUGUGCACUGUAAAACGAUAUGUUAUGUGGAGAUUUACCAGGUACGGACGAGGGAAUUAGCAAAGACAAACUACUGUAUCCGUGGUUGGUUGGACAGCAAAACAUUUCUCUCAGUGUCUUAAUUGGAAACAAAUGUAAAGAUGGAUGGAAAAUCUCAUUAUUAUUGGAGAGAAUCCUUUUCUGAACGACAAGGGAUAAUAAAGAUAAAGAUGAGAAACCUUGAUUAUAUAAAGCUUAUAGACAAACCCACUUGAUCCAUCAUCUUGGUUAGGUUCCUGGCUUCAAUUAUGGAGAGUUGUCUUCCUCUUAUGCACAUUUAUAUGCUUUUUUUGGGGGUGCAUACAGUAUGUUGUAGAUAGUUUACAACAUACUGUGAUAAAACAAAUGCUUUGGGAUGUUUCAAGUGAGGCCUACAGUAUUACACAAGUUUAUGAAACAUCUUUGCAUUAAAUAUUUAAAUUGCAGGUAAGCUACGAUCUCAUAUUAUCCACUCACUGUGUUCUUCAGCCACAAACCCACCCACUGCAGCCCUCACAUACCUUCCUCCCAGACUGAGCUGGAGCUCAUGAGGCCUCAGACACACUUAAUGGGAUUAUGGUAAUAUAAUUUUGUGACGCUGACCUCGGGCUGGUGCCAGGUUUCUUCCACAUCCUCAGACAAAGGCAGGGAGCUCACCAAGGGUUCCAGCAGGCUGGCCCAGCUCGGCCUCUUGGCACAGGCCGAUGUCCUCAUGGGGCCAGCGCAAGAUGGAUGGCUGCGGGGCAAAGUCUCACUUCCUAAGUCUACUCAAACAGUGAGCAAAAUCAAAAGGUGAUGAGAGAGGAUUGUAAACUUAAAUAAAUAUCAUUUCCCAAGAGUGAGUUGACUCCUAUGACUGUUGUUCAUGUGACUCUUCUGAUUUAAUGUAUGCAAUAAUCAAUCCGGUUCAGGAUGUAGGAAACGUGCCCUCCCUUUGCUCCUAACUUGAAUCAGUGCAUAGUAGUUUUUCGGUUGAUGGUGUAGCUUCCAUGGAUUGUGGUCAAUUUAUCUUUCUCAGUGACUUAGCAGGGUUUUCCUCCACUGGAUGUUUCUUAUUGGUUUAAGAAAGAAAGUUUUUAUGUAAAUUUUUUCCCUUGAUUAGACCAUUUUAGAAACAGUUUUCCUUGAAAUACCGUAACAGGCAAAUGGCAUACAUAUACACAUACACACCGGACAGUCCAUCAGUGUAGGCAGAAUAAACUUGCAAUAUGUUGGAGUGCUGUUUGAUUCUUCAUCUUGUUUUGUCUCAUUUUACUUUGUUGUGUAUUUUAUUGUUGUCCAGUCUCCACGGGUGUAUCACCAGAUUUUUCCCCCCUUCUCCUUUUCUUUUCCUCUUCCUUUUGCCUUCAAAAAGACCACCCAUAGGGUUCGGAGGGGGCAGACGUCUCUGUGGAAUAAUAAUGGGGUCGUCCUGGGAAAAUUGCCCAUGGAAAGGCCUGGCUGAAAAAAAAAAGAAAGAAAAAUUUGGUCUUGUUUCCGAUCCUUCUCUGAAACAUUCAUCAGGGCACUCCUGCUGUUUGGAGGGGAGCAGUCCUAUCGCAGCCCCAAUCCACUCACUGGCUGGGUCACUCUGCUACUACCAAGACUUUCUGAGCCGAGGGAAAGCCUCAAUCCUGAUGUCAUUUCUGAUGGGGUGCUACUCUGUGACAACACCACAUGACACACUAUUCUGAUGAAAUAGGCUGAAAGUGGCCAUCGUCAAUCCACGUUUUUUAUUGAGGGCAGAGUAACAAGGCCCUGAGGCCCUGCUGCCUCACUCCAGGUCUGAGCCACUGGAGAUCCAGUGAUGGAUGUGCCUCGGGGGCUCUCUGUGGGAGGUGGGCUCAAGGCUUCACACACUCUGCCUGCUCCUCACUGUCAGAGGGGAAGAUGUCAUCCUUCAUAUUUAGCCAGAGACAGCAGAGUCAAGCCUGCAGUAGGAUCACUGUCUUGACAUCAACACAACAAGCCUUAAGUCAUUGCAUAUUGAUAUGUUUUAUUUUUUAUUUUUGCCAGUUUAUAUAACACAAUACUGUUUUAAUCAGCAGAUAGUUCCUGAAAGUAGCAUCACGAGAAACGGCAGCAGUUUGAAGCAAAGUUACAGAAGAAGAAGUGGGAGCAGAGAUAACAAACAUGUCUGAAAAGACAAAGAUGAGCAUAAUUAACACCUUUCCCUUUACAAUGCAGGGAAAAAUACACUGAAAAGACAAUUUUAUUGUUUUAACUGCACCACAUCAGUGAUUUGAAACAAUAAAAUUAAAUUGUGGAUACAAAGUUUAAAUCACAAUUUUAACUGUAGAUCUAUUCUUACUGAUACAUGUCAUUAGUCUGUUAUUGUCUGUGAAUUCCUUGAGGUAUUGUGUGUUGAAAUAGUGUAAUUUCCCUUUCAGCUGCACCCACAUUCCCACAGCUUAGUUACUGUUUUCCACUUCCAUCAAACCCCAGAGCAUGUGAGUGAACUUCAAGUUGGCAUCUUAUGGUUUUAUUAUUAUAUUGAUAUGAUGGCAAACAAAAGCAAUGUUAAACACAUGUUACUUUUAGCAUUUUGUAACCCUAAAUAUAUAGUGAAAGUUUGUUUUAAACUUAAACCUACACAAACCCUAAUGUUAAACAGUCAUUUCAAAAUGUAAAUGUGCACUUUUAGUUACUAACACCGUAUGCUAACUAGCCAGUUAAC